rnacentral:rRNA from 1 species
GACGAACGCUGGCGGCGUGCCUAAUACAUGCAAGUCGAGCGAACAGACGGGAGUGCUUCCGCCCUCUGACGUUAGCGGCGGACGGUAGAGUAACACGCGGGACAACUAACUAUAAGAUUGGGAAAACCUGGGGAAACCGGAACUAAUAACGGAUAAUAUUCAGCUGCUUAGGAAGCAAUUGUUAAAGACGUUUCUGCGGUCACUUAUAGAUAGACCCGCGGUGCAUUGGUUAGUUGAGGGGGUAACGGGACACCAAGGCAACGAAACAUAGCCGACCUGAGGGGGAGGUUGGCCACACUGGGACUGAGACACGGCCCAGACUCCUACGGGAGGCAGCAGUAGGGAAUCUUCCGGGAUGGACGAAAGUCUGACGGAGCAAUGCCGCGUGAGUGAAGAAGGUUUUCGGAUCGUAAAACUCUGUUGUAAGGGAAGAACAAGUACGUUAGUAACUGAACGUACCUUGACGGUACCUUACCAGAAAGCCACGGCUAACUACGUG